rnacentral:sRNA from 1 species
UCCCUCCUGAAACUGCACUGUUGUCAAAGAGGAUGACCUUCCCCAAGGUAGAGGAGGACCGUUCUUUGGUCAAGGUUAGACACGUAGCUGCACUCCCCUGCUAGAACCUCCAAACAAGCCCUCCUAUUCUGUGAUAUUCACUUAUAGCUGUGGUCCUCAACCCCUGGGCAGUGGGGGACCAGC